GGAGCGGUGCCAGAGUGGUCGAAUGGGCUUCCUUGCUAAGGAAGUGUGCGCAUCACGCGCACCGGGGGUUCGAAUCCCUCCCGCUCCG
rnacentral:tRNA from 1 species